rnacentral:rRNA from 1 species
AAAUUGAAGAGUUUGAUCAUGGCUCAGAUUGAACGCUGGCGGCAGGCCUAACACAUGCAAGUCGAGCGGUAGCACAGAGAGCUUGCUCGGGUGACGAGCGGCGGACGGGUGAGUAAUGUCUGGGAAACUGCCUGAUGGAGGGGGAUAACUACUGGAAACGGUAGCUAAUACCGCAUAACGUCGCAAGACCAAAGUGGGGGACCUUCGGGCCUCAUGCCAUCAGAUGUGCCCAGAUGGGAUUAGCUAGUAGGUGGGGUAACGGCUCACCUAGGCGACGAUCCUAGCUGGUCUGAGAGGAUGACCAGCCACACUGGAACUGAGACACGGUCCAGACUCCUACGGGAGGCAGCAGUGGGGAAUAUUGCACAAUGGGCGCAAGCCUGAUGCAGCCAUGCCGCGUGUGUGAAGAAGGCCUUCGGGUUGUAAAGCACUUUCAGCGGGGAGGAAGGCGUUAAGGUUAAUAACCUUGGCGAUUGACGUUACCCGCAGAAGAAGCACCGGCUAACUCCGUGCCAGCAGCCGCGGUAAUACGGAGGGUGCAAGCGUUAAUCGGAAUUACUGGGCGUAAAGCGCACGCAGGCGGUCUGUCAAGUCGGAUGUGAAAUCCCCGGCUCAACCGGGAACUGCAUUCGAAACUGGCAGGCUAGAGUCUUGUAGAGGGGGGUAGAAUUCCAGGUGUAGCGGUGAAAUGCGUAGAGAUCUGGAGGAAUACCGGUGGCGAAGGCGGCCCCCUGGACAAAGACUGACGCUCAGGUGCGAAAGCGUGGGGAGCAAACAGGAUUAGAUACCCUGGUAGUCCACGCCGUAAACGAUGUCGAUUUGGAGGUUGUGCCCUUGAGGCGUGGCUUCCGGAGCUAACGCGUUAAAUCGACCGCCUGGGGAGUACGGCCGCAAGGUUAAAACUCAAAUGAAUUGACGGGGGCCCGCACAAGCGGUGGAGCAUGUGGUUUAAUUCGAUGCAACGCGAAGAACCUUACCUGGUCUUGACAUCCACAGAACUUUCCAGAGAUGGAUUGGUGCCUUCGGGAACUGUGAGACAGGUGCUGCAUGGCUGUCGUCAGCUCGUGUUGUGAAAUGUUGGGUUAAGUCCCGCAACGAGCGCAACCCUUAUCCUUUGUUGCCAGCGGUUAGGCCGGGAACUCAAAGGAGACUGCCAGUGAUAAACUGGAGGAAGGUGGGGAUGACGUCAAGUCAUCAUGGCCCUUACGACCAGGGCUACACACGUGCUACAAUGGCAUAUACAAAGAGAAGCGACCUCGCGAGAGCAAGCGGACCUCAUAAAGUAUGUCGUAGUCCGGAUUGGAGUCUGCAACUCGACUCCAUGAAGUCGGAAUCGCUAGUAAUCGUAGAUCAGAAUGCUACGGUGAAUACGUUCCCGGGCCUUGUACACACCGCCCGUCACACCAUGGGAGUGGGUUGCAAAAGAAGUAGGUAGCUUAACCUUCGGGAGGGCGCUUACCACUUUGUGAUUCAUGACUGGGGUGAAGUCGUAACAAGGUAACCGUAGGGGAACCUGCGGUUGGAUCACCUCCUUACCUUAAAGAA